GAUGAACGCUGGCGGCGUGCCUAAUACAUGCAAGUCGAGCGAAUGGAUUAAGAGCUUGCUCUUAUGAAGUUAGCGGCGGACGGGUGAGUAACACGUGGGUAACCUGCCCAUAAGACUGGGAUAACUCCGGGAAACCGGGGCUAAUACCGGAUAACAUUUUGAACCGCAUGGUUCGAAAUUGAAAGGCGGCUUCGGCUGUCACUUAUGGAUGGACCCGCGUCGCAUUAGCUAGUUGGUGAGGUAACGGCUCACCAAGGCAACGAUGCGUAGCCGACCUGAGAGGGUGAUCGGCCACACUGGGACUGAGAAACGGCCCAGACUCCUACGGGAGGCAGCAGUAGGGAAUCUUCCGCAAUGGACGAAAGUCUGACGGAGCAACGCCGCGUGAGUGAUGAAGGCUUUCGGGUCGUAAAACUCUGUUGUUAGGGAAGAACAAGUGCUAGUUGAAUAAGCUGGCACCUUGACGGUACCUAACCAGAAAGCCACGGCUAACUACGUGCCAGCCGCCGCCGCGG
rnacentral:rRNA from 1 species